GAGUAAUAGAUGAUGGUGUCUCCAAGAGUACUACAACUGUGGAUGAAGUUAAGAUGCACUUAGAUUAUCAAAAACUUUAGAGCUAAACGAACAUUUUAAAUGGUUGUUAGGUUGGCUAGAGUUUAGGGCCAUAAGAAGGGAUCAUGAGCAUUUUAUGAGAUCAAGGAUGCCUUUUGUUUUGUCAUAGAACUAGGCAGACUUGAUAACUAUAGUAAAGAAAGCUUUGUGACAACAAAAGUCGAGAAGGGAAAGUCUCUCUCUCUCUCUCUCUAUCCCCGUUCCCUUCCCUCUCCUUUCUCUGUAUGUGUGUGUUUGUCCGUCUCUCAGUCAAUCAUAAAUGACAUAACAUGUGCAAUAAUAUAGAGCUAGCAAGGGUUUGGUGUGUAAGGGAUUUCAUAUAUAGGUCGAAGUAUUGGAUAAGAGACAAGGUGGAGUCCAGAGAUGAAAUAAAGUUGGAUGCUGGCGCAGAUAGAAGCAUCUGCAGGAGCUUUUUUAUUUGGAGGGCUUGACCUUGAACAAUAGGAAUGGUGAAGUUAAAUUAGAAAAAUCAAUACCCUAGAAAUGGGGUUAAACUUAUUGUUCAUGACCAUGCUCUUGAUUAUUUAGAUAAAAAAGAAAUGCUUUUCUUUUAAUCACAAUGGCUUCACAAACUAAUUUAAUUCUGAAGUAGUAUCAGCUUACAACAAAGUUCUUUAAUAAUUCUACAAUUUGAGCCACUUGUCACUGAUAUAUGAUCAUUGUCUAAGAAAAUUUAUAGUCAACCUUAUUAUAGGCAUGUGCAUGUUGACCAGUUGCUUUGUAUAAGCAAGAUUGCUAUAAACUAAUUUUUCAGCAAGGUUUUGCCAUUUGACGUUUCAACAUUUUGUUCCUUUUUUUGCAUCAUCAUCACAAUCAAUGAAAAACCAUUAUGAAUAGUGUCCUUUAUCAGAAUUACCAGGCAAAAUAACUUUUUUUUUGUUUUUCAAAUUCAUUCAUCUUUACACUCCCAACCCCCUUCUACUUAUUUCUCUUAUUUCCAUUUGUAACAUUUAUGCGAUAUUUGCUAUUUUCCUCUUGCCAAAAUAUGGAAUGCUUGGAUUGAUCAUCUCAAUUUAGAAUCUUAAUAUGAUGAAUUAUGGUUGAAGUUACCAUUCAACAUCAAAACAGCCUUUGUGUAAUGGUAAGCUUGCUCUGUUGUGACCUUAGUGUCAUGGCUCGAAACAAGAAAAUAGUCUCUGGGGUAAAGCUGUAUAUAUUUGACCUUCCCUAGACCCUAUAAUAACAGGAGCCUCGUACAAUGGGUUGCCCUUUUAUGGUUGAAGCUACCAUUAGUUUUAGGUGGUGGGUAUUAUUGCAUUAUCUUUUUCGAUGACUUGUAGAAUAUUGUUGAAGGACAACUAUUAGUAGCUGUGAUAUAUUGUUCAUUGAAGUCCAUUUUGGCUCAUAAAAUGAUGGGUGAACUGUCAAGGAUUAAAGAGAGGUUGAAUGGACCUUGAGGGAGAUGCUUGAAUUGUAGUUCCUUGGUGGGAGAGUAUGGGGCAGAAACAAGUAUUGUAGAUUAUGUAAAGUUGCCUGCUUACCACUUUGCAGAAAAGGAUAGGCAGAGGGCAAAUGAUUGGCGAUCUGAGUUUAAAGCUUUAGUCAUGAAAAUUAGAGCUUUGACAUGUAAACAUAGGGUUUGACAUGCUUAUCCUUCAUGAGGACGAGGUCAUAUCAAAUGAGUAUGAUAUUUAUUGGAGGUCGACACUUUUAUUUAAUAAAGUGCAAAAACAUGAAUGCAAACAAGUUUUAAAUGUUGUAGUCUUCUCACUUUCAUAAAAACUGAGGCCAUUAGCAUAUUACUCAAGACUCAAAAGAAGCUUAGACAAAUACAAGCAUUAUGCUAGCUUAUUUCUGAGGCAAGCUGCAAGAAAUCACGAUCAUAGCAAGCAGAUUUAUAAUCUUAUAGAGCUAAGAAAUUAUGUUUUAUAACUGAUAAGAAACCUCAAAGAUCUUAACCAUGUAGGUUAAUGAAAAGCUUUUAGAUAAUUAAGUUAUGGUCGCAUCUUUGUUAUUAAUGAGAAAGCCUUUUGUUAAUGGAUUUCUAUUUUCUAGGUGGAUUGCCUUCUUGCCAGACUUUUACAGUCACUUUUGGAGUCUCUUUUGCACCAAUAUGGGGAAAGAAAAGAAAAGAAAGCGACUGACAUCUCCAGACUCCAGACAUGCAACAACUUAUAUUUUCAGGCAAAUAAUUUAAAAAAAGAAAAGAAAAAGUACCUGGCUUGCCACAUCUCCCUCUUUUUCAUGGCACGUGGCCAGUUCUAGUAUUAUUUGAAGAGUCAAGCAUAAUGCAGUUAAAACCCAUUGAAACCUUAAACAUAGUUGAUUCUGACACAAUUCAAGUAUGAAGAUAACUAUAUUAAAUGAUCAAGUCUCAAUAAUGCACCAAAUUUGUACCAUACUCCCAAGUCCCAAAUUUUGUUGACAAGGAUAAAAGGCUUGAAACAGAUUUCCAGGUAAUCAUGCUAUACUUUCAGAAAAAUAACAGAAAAAACUCAAGUCCCAAUCUUCAGAGUUUUUAUGAUAGCAUAAAUACACCAGAAACACUUGACAGAUGGAGCUAGCUAUAAGUUUCUUCUUUUUUCCAAACAAGCUCCGAAAAUCAUUACCACCAAUGCUAUCAUUGUAGUUUGUAAUGAGCAUUUUUGUUCGAAACCUGGGCACUUUGGUUAUUGAGAGCCUCCUGGCACUAUCUACAGUAAAUAGAAAUUAAUGCAGUGGAUGUUUUAUGCUUGCUGAACAAAGUGCAUGUCCUGCUAUAUAGUUUUGUAAGUUGCUGCCUGCUAAGAAUUUGGGGCAUGUGAGAUCCAAAUCUGACACGUCUAUUGUGCAAACUUUUUGCUAAGACAAUUGUUGUUUUGCAAGUGCUCUCUUGUAAUGUACAUUUGGUCUCUCUGUACGUAUUCUUGCCUAUAGUAGUAGUGCUAGAUUCUUCUGAUCUAAAAUCAUACUGUACCAUGUGUUUGCAUUCCUGAUGAUGCUUUUCAAUGUUUUGCAAUUUAUCUAUAACUGAAGUUAUUCUCGUGUUUAGGCAUGCUGACUGGGUCUGAGACUUUCUGCAUGAUUUCAAUUUUUUCUUUUUAUGGCGGGGAUUGGGAACCAUUUACCUCUGAAAUCGUUAAAAGUUGGAUAUGCUUUUAAUUCUCAACUCAGGCAUCCUGUUAAUUUUUGUAGUUCAGCACAAUUAACUUGGUUUGCACUACUUCAAUCUCCUGUUCGGUGUUUGUAAUGCAAAAAAAAAAACUCAUUAAUUAGUUGUUAUUGGUGUUAUAACAUCUAUUACCUCUGUGCAAGAAUGUUGCCUAACUUUUUACCCCUCACUGGCUGCAAUUGCAGAUGCUGUACUGUACAAGUUUGAGUUGGAGCGCUGAUGGAAGCACCUUGUUUACUGGUUACACUGAUGGUACCAUCAGAGUCUGGGAAAUCACUCGUUAUUAGAGAUGGGCACCUAGGUGGAAGUCUCUUUUUUUGCAACAUCUUUUAAUUUUUCCAGAUGAACAUGUGGUAUCAAUUUCAUAUUUAUUGUUGCAUUUUACCAGAUACAUGUUUGGAGAUUAAAUAUUUUCUUAUUGGAUUUAAAGGUUAUUCCAUAGCUUUUCUAAAGUAACCUCUGAAUGGACGGAUAUUCUCAUCUUUGAUGCUGUAUGAGUGCUGUUUUGAUCCCUUUUAAAUCUUCGAUAAUGAAUGCUUUCUACAUGGGAAAAUAGUUCCUUCACCUGUUGUAUAGAUCAUAGCGUGGAAUUUGCUUUUCUCUGGGUUGUUCGAAUAUUUUUUUUCUCUCUUGAAUAAAACAAAUGUCAGGUAUAUCGGGGCACGAAUUCUAUAUCUGAACUUGAACUAGUUGGAAAGGAGGGUUGUAUCUUGCUAUUUUGUUGUUGAUAAAUUGAUUAAAAAAAUCCUCAAUUAGGUUACACUUUGCUGGCAAAUAAAAAAAAAUUCUAAGAGGACACUCAAAAGAUAUGCACGAAUAGCCUUACUUGAGUGGAGGAUGAUGUGAGAUACUCUUUAUAAGAUGCUUUUUUUGAUACUAAGAGCUUCAUAGCUUGCAAAGGUUGAGACUUUAUAUAAAUAUUUUAUUAUUAAUAGUGUUCUGUUGAGAAAUAACAAAAAUAGAUUAAUCGAACUAGGAAUCUAUUUCUACAUAAAUAAGCAAGCAAUCGAAGAGGAGAAAAACCUUCUUGUAGAAAGUUUUUCCCCUCUUUUCUGCUGGAAAAGGAAAAAGAAGUAGUUUUGUCGCUCUUCCUUUUUUCUUAAACUUGCCACAUUACCCUGCCGGGGGAUAAUAAGGCUUAAUUCUUCCUUUCCCUAGUAAUAUGGGUUAGUGUUAAGGAGCCCUUGUAUUAAUCUGCCUCAACUAACUUUUUAUUAUCAGGGUACUUCAACUCUCGUGGAUGGCUACGAAGGCAAGUAUCCUGACGCAUUUGUCUAUUCAUUGAGCUGAAAAAUGAAAAAAAAAGCCAACCAUGUUAUUCAAUGGUAUAAUAGCCAAUGAUCAAAAACUUCUUGAAUUAAAACCAUCUAUUAAUUCCUUUUAAAAUAAAUCAAAGUGCAUAACUGAUACUGAGUCGCAUAUUUUAUUAUCUGGUUAACUUACAAACCAGUGGUUGUAGUGAUGUUGAAGGCUCAGAUCCUUAUCUAAGCUUUUUUUGAUCUCAUUGGCAUACUACAUUGAGAGGAGCAAAAUGCACAUAACUUGGAGCUUAAUGUCAAACCCACCUUCGUUGUAUGUCUUAUGCCUUAUCACCUCUUCAAAAUCUUGCUUUGUAUUCUCUAAAAUUUAAUAGGAGAUUCUUAAAUACCUUCCAUUUGAGAAUCAAACCAAACAUCUCUUUAGUUAGAAAUUUUAUCAUAUUAAAAUAAUUCCGGAAAAAUAUGUUUUUGUUUUUCUGAAAUACAAUAAUCACUUGUGUCUCAUAAUUAUUACCACAUUAAAUACAACAGACAUGAUGUUAUACAUUGAAUGAGUAUUGGUUAAAAGCUUCCACAUAAGUUUCUAUGGGAUAUUUUGGAUAUUUUAAUCAUUCCCACAAUAAAAGAGAGGUGUCUAUGGAUCGAAACAAACACUGAUUAGUACGAAGACUCAAAAACAAAAAUGUCACUAAUAAUAAGCUAGACUGCCAUAAACCCUAUCUGGAUUUUGAAGAGGUUUGGAUGUCAUUAGGUAAGAUUAUAAAGGUGCAAUUCUACCCAUGCUUGUGAGAUUUACGCUGAUCGUGCACGCGAUGCAUGAAAUUCCCCAUCUUAUGAUAGAUUGCAUGGAUCAAUUGGCUGCCAAAAUUUUGCAAAGUUUAUGUAAGGCAUAUGCCAUAUGACUAGUCCAAGCAUACUAUGUUUAACUAUAUCAUGAAGUUAUUCCGCUGAGCCUAAAGCACUCUCUCUCUCUGAGUUGGGAGACAAGAAAAGGAGCACCUCCAUAAUAUGAAGUUAGACGGGGUUUCAUGUGAAAAAAAAAAUCUACGAAAAACCACUCAUUGGGUUCAUCGUCAUCGCCAUCUCGGGCCGGCCGUGAAUCCCACUCGCGGCAACUCAAAUUGCCGGUUAAAAGUAACCAAACACAAAUUAGCGGCCGAGAUAUUUUCUAGGUAUAAUGAACGGCAGAUCUAGGAGAUCGCAUGUAUCUAUUUACGCGUGAGUCCGGACAGGACCUUGACUCGAUGUCAGUGCCCUCACGCGAAUUCUAUACGGACUCUCGCGUAGGAGUUCCUCCGUUCUCCCCCCUCCCCCUCCCGCUCGCCGGUAACCCGCCCAAUCCUAGCCCUAAUCCACUCACCAUCAAUCCGCCGGCGAUCAAGAACAAUAGGAGAUCCAAAAGUCCAUUCUCUCUCUCUCUCUCUUCUCUCCUCCC
rnacentral:lncRNA from 1 species